CUCCUCUCUUCCUCUUCCUCGCCAUCCGACUUCUGUUCCGGGAGUGGGGAGGGGGGGAAAGAGCCCCCUCCCAAAUUGCCUGCUUCUUCCCUCAAGUGGAGCUUCUGCGCCGGAUUCGGGCUCUGCGCCGCAGCUCUAGGGGCGCGCGCUUUCGGAAAGGGAAGGAGGGGCGGCAGGUAAAUCCCCCCCACCCACGUGGAUGUUGCAGGAAAGGAAAGGAGAAUCGCGAGCGAGGACAAAGAGGAUCAGGAUCCUCAGGAGCGUGUCCUGGCGGCCGGAUUAAGGGCCUGCCGUCACCGGCAGCAGAAUUCCCCAACCCACCAAGGAUUUGAGACCCAUCAGAUAUCCUCACCUGGUUUAGCAGGCCGGUUGAAGCCGUUCCUGGGAUUGCGGCCCAUUUUGCAUGCUGACAGCUUCUGGAAGCCACAGGAUUUUCUUUCCUCCCACAUUGAAGAAGGUGAUGGAGAAGACAUUCAGAAUUCUGAGGGAUGGAAUACUUUAUUUCAUUAGGUAUAGACAUUAAAAUGUGUGAAAUGUGGAAUAUGCUUCACUAAAUGAGCACACAUAGCUCACAUCAGCGAUCUCAAGAAGGAGAGAAAAGUAUGGAGAGUGAGAAAAGUUUCACCGAUAGUGAAAAACGUAGAACACAUCAGCGGACUCACAUGGGCAAGAAAGGAUUCCAAUGCAUGGAUUGUGGAAAGAGCUUCAGUCAGAAUGGACACUUAAGUUUACAUCAGUGGACUCACACAGGGGAGAAGCCAUUUAAAUG